GCUCUUCCCCUGUAGCGGCUGAUGGCCGGGAAACAGCGUAAGUGUUGCCAUAGCAACUGCUGGGACAUGCAGGAACUGACGUCACUUGAGGGCGUGGACUUGUCACGGCAGCAGAAGCCUGGGCUGCGGCGGUGGGAGGAGACCUGCUUCUGGAGGGUUUAUAAGAACCGUUCUCGUAGGGGCUACUGGGAACCAGGUAAUUGUAAGUAGUAUUUUUAAUUAAUGAUAGCUAUCAUGUGAACGGAAGGACUCUUGUGGAGGUAAACCACACCACCUGACGAAGUCCAUCAUUGGACGAAACACAUUUGGCGUGGCUUAGGACGUGGAUGCUGUGACGUCAUUCACCGGGACCAGAGCUGAUGUGGUAACAAGGCGGGAGAUCCAAUGGAGCGGCUUGGUGAGGAAACGAGCCGGGAGAUCCAAUAGAGCAGCUAAGUUACAGCGGUCUAAUCAUGCU